AGUGAACGCUGGCGGUAGGCCUAACACAUGCAAGUCGAACGGCAGCACAGUAAUAGCUUGCUCUUACGGGUGGCGAGUGGCGGCCGGGGGAGGAAUACAUCGGAAUCUACUUUUUCGUGGGUUAUAACGUAGGGAAACUUACGCUAAUACCUCAUACGACCUACGGGUGAAAGCAGGGGAUCUUCGGACCUUGCUCGAUUGAAUUAGCCGAUGUCGGAUUAGCCAGUUGGCGGGGUAAAGGCCCACCAAGGCGACGAUCCGUAGCUGGUCUGAGAGGAUGAUCAGCCACACUGGAACUGAGACACGGUCCAGACCCCUACGGGAGGCAGCAGUGGGGAAUAUUGGACAAUGGGAGCAAGCCUGAUCCAGCCAUAGCGCGUGGGUGAAGAAGGCCUUCGGGUUGUAAAGCCCUUUUGUUGGGAAAGAAAAGCAGCAGGUCAAUACCCCGCUGUUCUGACGGUACGCAAAGAAUAAGCACCGGCUAACUUCGUG
rnacentral:rRNA from 1 species